rnacentral:rRNA from 1 species
CGGACGGGUGAGUAAUGUCUGGGAAACUGCCCGAUGGAGGGGGAUAACUACUGGAAACGGUAGCUAAUACCGCAUAACGUCGCAAGACCAAAGAGGGGGACCUUAGGGCCUCUUGCCAUCGGAUGUGCCCAGAUGGGAUUAGCUAGUAGGUGGGGUAAUGGCUCACCUAGGCGACGAUCCCUAGCUGGUCUGAGAGGAUGGCCAGCCACACUGGAACUGAGACACGGUCCAG